rnacentral:rRNA from 1 species
UACGUAGGGACCAAGCGUUGUUCGGAUUUACUGGGCGUAAAGGGCGCGUAGGCGGCAAUUCAAGUCAUCUGUGAAAUCUCCGGGCUUAACUCGGAACGGUCAGAUGAUACUGCUUUGCUAGAGUGCGGAAGGGGCAAUCGGAAUUCUUGGUGUAGCGGUGAAAUGACGUAGAUAUCAAGAGGAACACCUGAGGUGAAGACGGGUUGCUGGGCCGACACUGACGCUGAUAGCGCGAAAGCCAGGGGAGCAAACGGG